rnacentral:misc_RNA from 1 species
AACGCACAUUGCACUCUAUUUCGAUAGAGUAUGCCUGUUUGAGAAUCUAAUGUAUUCAUUUUCCUAUAUAAUCAUCCUUGGAUGUUUGUAAGGAAAGAUUUGUGGAAUCUCUAAUAUUUUUAUUAAAGUUCUAUUAAUUAUAUAGCUUGGUAUUAAAUCUUGGCUGAAAAGUAUUUGAAUGGAACUUUAAUGUUUCUCCCUAUACAGAUUAAGCUGUUUUAAUUGAAUUCAAGCUCUUAACUAUGAAAAAAGAUUUUAUGAUUAACACCUAAGAUUUUUGAUAAAUUUUAAGGGUUGAAAGUAACUUUUUUGAACCAUGGUCUCAAAUCAGGCAGGAUUACCCGCUGAACUUAA